GAUGGCGCUACCCGCCGUUCAAUUCAACGAGUAACAUUCAAUUUUAUUAGCUAUUCAUCUACUGCAACGUUGGUAUCGCUAGAUCAGGCUGGAUUUCAAUUCAAUGGAGAAAUGGAAAAAAUUAUCAUGUACGUCGCGCGACGUCCUGGUACGUCGUCUCGUCCCUCUCCUCUGAUCGCACUCAAGACCAGCGCUGUUUCAAAAUGUCAUCCGUGAAAGUGCCAAGCAUGCAUGCCCCCAAAAUCGUGAACAAUCUAUCGGCGGGUCAUUUGCUCUGAUUAUGCGUUCGCUCCGCGCGAUCGGCGAGCAGCUGUGAACGCGUUGGCGCUUGCUUGUUCACGUCGUACUCCACCGACCCGGCGAUGGAGGCCCUGCUGUGCUUCGUGGUGGCCACGCUGGUGUUCCUGCUCCUGUUCGACUACUACUGCCAUCAGCAGGAGAGCCAGGAGCGGGCGCCCGUGCGCUCGGCCAGCUGCGACGACGCACCGCCCGUCAAGACGAGUCGCUACUACUCGACCAGCCUCUUCGCCAUCCUUGGACUGUCUCGCGAGGAAGUGUACGACUUCGCCGCCUUCAGGGACCGAUUCCACACCUUUUCGGAAGUGAGCACGGCCAUGCGCAGGGCAGGGCUGCCGGACAUCCACGUCAUUGUGGGCAUCGACUUCUCGGCCAGCAACGAGUGGCAGGGGCGCAAGACAUUCCGCGGCGAGAGUUUGCAUGCGCUGAAAGGGAGCAACCCCCACAACCCGUACCAGCGGGCCCUGGCCUCCCUGGGGGCCGUGCUGACCCCCCUGCUGCACGGAAACCCCAUUCCGGCCUUCGGCUUCGGCGACUCCGCCACCAAGGACACGGCAGUUUUCCCGCUCAUCGAGUCUGGCACGCCCUGUCUGGACUUCAACGACCUUAUGUGUGCCUACACGCACACGGCACAAAAGGUGCAGCUGAGCGGACCUACCAGCCUGGCCCCACUGCUCCAGAAGGCUCAGGAGAUUGCCGCCCACAGCCGCGAGUUUCACGUGGUCCUGGUGCUCACGGACGGGCAGCUGGACCCUGCCGGGGAGGCCUCCUCCCGCCGGGCUGUUGUCUCCUGCUCCCAGCUGCCGCUCUCCCUCGUGCUGCUCGCCCUCGGGGACGGCCCCUGGCCCGCGCUGCAGCGUUGGGAUGACGAGCUGCCCGAGCGGCGCUUCGACAACCUCCAGCUUGUGCGCCACGCCGAGGUGACGCGGGGCUGCCGCAACCCUGAUGCGGCGCUCGCGCUCCACGCCCUUAUGGAGGUGCCUGACCAGUAUCGCGCGGCCGUGCAGCUGGGACUACUCAAGUCUUGAUUCGGCACGGCUAAAGCCCCUUGACGCACUUGCGUUUGUCUCGCGAGUAGCAGUGCACCGGGCCCAUGCCACUCUCGUGCGGCACUGUGAAGGAAAUGGCGGCUAGGCACCAAAACGAGCGACUCUUGGAAAUGAAUGGUGGCGGAGCACUCGCGCUCCCGUGGCCCAUUUAUUGACCCUUCCCAUAACGAUGGUUUACAGUACUUGUAAGGAACGCCAAGCGUGAAUUUUACCGAGGAGCUUUAAGUCUGGCAGCCAGAUGAUGGCCAGUUCAAUGAAUUCGAGGCAAAGCGCUGGCCUAUGGAUCCCCAGGUGGCAGGUUCAAAUCCCACCCGAAGUGCCCGCAAUCUGACGGGGUCUUACUGCAGAGAAGGCAACGGGUAACUGAGAUUUCGGUUGUACGUCAAAAUAUCCUUCGGACCUCUGCUGGAGCGUGCCAGGUGCCCUUCGUCGAUUCGACACAAACAAACCCUCAAAUUUGACUUUUGGCCGGACGGCCUCCUCCAGAGAUCGCGGAAACGCGCCUUGUGCCGUCCAGGAUGUCGCCGACUGUUGUCUGCUUUUGGGGUGCAUACGCAAGGUUACAUUUCUGCCCCGUGGUUUUCUUCUCUACUGUUGUAAGGUCAGUAGAGAUUUGGUUGCUUCCUUGAAUCUCGUGGCCAUUAACUUAUUACUUGAGAUUAGUAUGCGAUUGCUGCACCCGGUUUGCCUACCUGAGUCUGCUUUUGUCACAAAUUGCUCAUCCGGUUACAUUUUUUGUCACAAAUCGCGCGUCUGGUUGGUCGAGAGGCCGUCUGGACGGUGCCUCGUCUGACAACGAGCACAGUGUCUUUGUUUACGUAGCGAACCGACAAAGACCAGUUUUUCCCGUUUUGGGGUUGCACCGGGACUGUUGCCUGCUUUUGUGGUGUGCCGAAUUUCCAUUUCAUGCUUCCUUGCAGUGGUCCUCUCCUUGACUUCCGGCUAGUCUUACUUCAAGCACUUUCCAGAGUCGCACCCCAGCUUUGGGCGGUGCUUUACGAGUUUCUGUCGGGCACGACUCGACAAACGAGCGUAAAGGGUUGUGAACGAAAUCAAAGAAUCUCAUCAACCAUUUUUCAGGUUUGGCAGCUGAUAUCUGCUUCUGCACUACCUUACCUUUCUGGUCACCGUUGGCCAGCACACACCCUGAAUACCGUCGUAGGAGAUGAGACGCCAAGGCGGCCUCGAUUGUGGGUGGGGGAUCGCGCAGCUUUUUGCCGUUGGAAUAUAAAACUCGGCACUAGCGAAGACUAUUUGCAAGUAGCUCAAUUACUUACCUUUUUUGCCUUAGAGCUAUUUUACACUCCUUGCACACCAACACGCGGCCCUGACGUCACGCCACUGCGGUGGCACUGCUGUUGGCAGGGCGCAUGCGCAGAUGCUUCACUUCACGCGAAUCUGGUUCCUGCGCACGCACAGUGCCCACACAUCGUGCGGAAACUCCACGUUUCCCACACUUCGGGGGGGCUUGUUUGUAAGCAGCGCAUUGGCCUAUAAAAUGGCUUUGCCUGGCCGGUUACAGCGGCAUAUGCUGUGGGAUACGAUGGUAGUGUGGCAUGUCAGCCAAUUGUAACGCUACCUGGUUAUUAUGCCCACCUCUCGGCAGCUCAAUUCACAAACUUAAUGAUGCACAGUCACAGCUCCAUUCUGUUUGCCUGGGAACUGACCUGACCACAGUCCUCUAGAAAAGAAAUUUAAGCACCAUACUCGAUGGGCCGGCUGCUUACGCUGCCAUCCAUAGGUUCUUUUCAGAGCCGUGAAAGUGAGCUCUUAAAUAAGAAUGAGGUUACAGUUCCUGGAGCUGAACUGUAAUUAAAGUUAGCAAAGUUUUUCCAUUCCUGCAAAUGUAUCUAGUUACAGUCACUUAAUUAUAAAAAGUAAAACAACAUUCCAAUUACUACUUUUUUUAAAAUCUGUGCUGUGACUGCUGACCAAUGUUUCUAUCUCCAAGAUAUGUCGGCACACUUCAGUCUUGAUUUGACACUUUGCUUAUGGCAGAGACAGCAACAACAUGCAAAGUCACAAUGCUGAGGAAAGAGCGCUGAGGUUAACUCGUGAAUCUGCGUUUCUUAUCAAUGCAAUGUUCCGAGAGGUAACUGCAAAAAAACCGAGGUACAGCCGCAGUUGGUGACCUGAAUACUUAUUAUUUAACUAUUUUAUAGCGCGGGAUCUUUACGCCUGUCUCGACGACUUCUGCCCCAUGGCAUGCAAUGCUUCGUAUGGGACAGAAACUUUUCCAGCCGAGACUCAAUCUUCGCCCAUUCCACCUUCUCCUCAAGUGAUAAACAUUGCCACGACAAAGACGGGACUAAAGCGGGCAAACACCGUGCAUUCUGUUAUUUUGUCACCUGUAGUGGUAGCCCCACCACAACUUGCCAUUCCCAGCAGUGCUAAUUGCAGGGACAAUGUUUCAAUCAUUGCUUGAUGGCAUCCAGAUGGCAUCAACUCACGUGAAAAAGAUGGCACACUCAAUAACAAGGCAAGGCUCCAUAAAUAGCCGAUUGGGUUGAAUAACAUGAUGUCUUGUAGGUUCUGCUGCACAAGUACACAGGAGAAUGCCUCGUGCCAUGUUUUCCACGUAGAAACAAUCGAGAUGCCCCUACAGGAGGAUUUUCCGAAGGGAUAUGCUGUUAACAAAAACGGCACGAGCCAAGUCUGCUUGUUGCAUGCAAUUAUUUCCACUGAAAAUCGACUGCUUUAUCUAGUGAUUUCAUUCUCAGAAAGUUCAUAUUUCUUUGCCCUAACCACUUGGUUAAAUGGCAUAUGGAUAGUGGCUGCCACAGCAGAGCCACAGCUCAUUCUAGUCAAUUAUUGACAUCUUUUUUAAAUCGCUUUCUUAGUGGACUACAGGGCUGCACUGUUAGCUAUUACAAGAAAUGUCUAUUUACAAUAAUAAAGAAAUUUUGUUAGCAU
rnacentral:misc_RNA from 1 species